UACGUAGGGGGCUAGCGUUGUCCGGAAUCAUUGGGCGUAAAGAGCGUGUAGGCGGCCAGGUAGGUCGGUUGUGAAAACUGGAGGCUCAACCUUCAGAGGUCGACCGAAACCAUCUGGCUAGAGUCCGGGAGAGGAGAGUGGAAUUCCUGGUGUAGCGGUGAAAUGCGCAGAUAUCAGGAGGAACACCAAUGGCGAAGGCAGCUCGCUGGGACGGUACUGACGCUGAGGCGCGAAAGCGUGGGGAGCAAACAGG
rnacentral:rRNA from 1 species